GGGCUUGACAUCCCACGAACCUGCCUGAAAGGGCGGGGUGCCCGCAAGGGAGCGUGGAGACAGGUGGUGCAUGGCUGUCGUCAGCUCGUGUCGUGAGAUGUUGGGUUAAGUCCCGCAACGAGCGCAACCCUCACCCCUAGUUGCCACCGGGUAAAGCCGAGCACUCGAGGGGAACUGCCAGCGUCAAGCUGGAGGAAGGCGGGGAUGACGUCAAGUCAUCAUGCCCCUUACGUCCUGGGCUACACACGUGCUACAAUGGCCAGUACAAAGGGAUGCGAGACCGCGAGGUGGAGCUAAUCCCGAAAAGCUGGUCUAAGUUCAGAUUGCAGUCUGCAACUCGACUGCAUGAAGGAGGAAUCGCUAGUAAUCGCGCAUCAGCCCGGCGCGGUGAAUACGUUCCCGGGCCUUGUACACACCGCCCGUCACACCACGAAAGCUUACUGUACUCGAAGUCGCUGAG
rnacentral:rRNA from 1 species